UUGGAAUUUCCCUUUAUACGUCCAAAAAUAGUAGGCGUUGUUGACAGGGAAGUGAUUCACUAAAACAGGGGAGUACAAACUUAAGAUGGCGGAGCGGCAAAGAGCACGACUCGGGGAAUUACUACUGCAAGAUGGAAACGGAGAAUGUGCUGACUGUGGAGAGAAAAAUCCUGACUGGGCAUCCUGUACAAUUGGUGUGUUCUUGUGUCAAGCCUGUGCUGGUAUCCACAGAGGUUUGGGAUCAAGUCAGAGUCGCAUCAAAUCUAUCAGGCUAGAUAACUGGGACAAAGAUCAAGUUCAGGUCUUAGAGAUGAUAGGCAAUAGCAAAGCCAAGGAGAAGUAUGAAAUGUUUGUCCCACCAUACUAUAAGAGACCCAGCAGCCAUACUGUUGAUGUUCUCAGGAAAGAGUGGAUCACAGCCAAGUACCAAAGGCUAGAGUUCACAGAUCCUGAGCGCCAGAGCUCAUACAAUGUCACCGAGAAAUCUGGCAUGCUGUGGAAGCUGGGACGGGACAGAAAACAAUUUGCUCAGCGCAAAUUUCUCUUGUCUAGAACUGAAAACAAACUUUUUUAUUAUGUAAAUGAGGAGAAUGGCAAGCAAAAACAGCCUAAAGCAGAAGCAGACCUAGAUUUCCUCAAUGCUGUGUUUGUCCCAGAAAAAAUUGGAAACCCGUAUGGUCUGCAGAUAACAUAUUUUAAAAAUGGCUCCACAAGAAACCUGUUUGUUUACUCAGAAAACUCAAAGGACAUUGUGGACUGGUUUAUGUCUAUCCGUGCUGCCAAAUGGGAAAGGAGAAGGAUAGCAUUUCCUGACAGAGAUCUGACUCAGCUGGCUGAAGAUUUGACCAAAGAUUUUCUAAUGGAAGGAUGGUUAAGCAAGAUGGGACCAAAAAAUGAGCCGUUUAGACGCAGAUGGUUUACACUGGACAGGAGAAAGUUGAUGUAUUUUGAAGAACCUCUUAAUGCCUUUGCUAAGGGUGAAGUUUUUAUAGGCCACAAAGAUGGAGGCUACAGUGUUGGUACAGGCAGCGAGGAAGGUGACAGGGGGUCCAACAGUCAGAACAGUAGCAGCAAUAACUGCUUCACUCUGCAGACGCCAGACAGGAAGUUUGUCAUGAGGGCUGAGACACUGGAUGACAUGCAGAAGUGGGUUAUGGCCCUGCAGAAGGUUGUCGAGAUGCCACUUACAACUCAAGAUAGUAAAUUGGCUGGGUUGUUGGUGCCAAAGAAGUCGUCCAAUUCCUUUAGGCUGAUCAAAAGAUAAUUGAAGACUUAAAAAUCAGCUCCAUCUGUACACUAACACUAGAUGCUGCCAUGCAAGAUAUCUGAAUCUGUUAUAUGAGAUAUAUUGCUGGUAUACCAUCUGAUACAAGAUAUAUUGCUGGUAUACCAUCUGACUCUGUUAUACAAGAUAUAUUGUGUUAUACAAGAUAUAUUGCUGGUAUACCAUCUGAUACAAGAUAUAUUGCUGGUAUACCAUCUGAUACAAGAUAUAUUGCUGGUAUACCAUCUGACUAAGAGCAGAACCUACCCAUGAUCUCCCGUGAAAGUGCUGAUUGUAUUUGUUGUCAAACUUACAACUGAGAUUAUGCUAAGCUUCACCCGCCACCUUGAUGGAUUUGAUAUUAGUAGCUAGACAUGGAAAGUAGUUUAAGCUCUGUGGACUUAGCUUUCUCUUUAGGUCUGUGACUUUCUCUUUAGGUCUGUGGACUUAG